UCCGGUUUGUCACCGGCAGUCAUUCUAGAGUCCCCACCAUUACGUGCUGGCAACUAAAGACGGGGGUUGCGCUCGUUGCGGAACUUAAUCCAACACCUCACGACACGAGCUGACGACAGCCAUGCACCACCUGUGAAGGUGUCCCGAAGGAAAACCGUGUUUCCACGGCGGUCACCUACAUGUCAAGCCCAGGUAAGGUUCUUCGCGUUGCGUCGAAUUAAACCACAUGCUCCGCUGCUUGUGCGGGCCCCCGUCAAUUCCUUUGAGUUUCAACCUUGCGGCCGUACUCCCCAGGCGGAGUGCUUAAUGCGUUGGCUGCGGCGGUGAAAGUGUUGAAACUACCACCACCUAGCACUCAUCGUUUACGGCUAGGACUAC
rnacentral:misc_RNA from 1 species